GGCCUGGUGGUCUAGUGGUAUGAUUGUCGCUUCGGGAUCAUAUGAUCGCCCGAGAUACCUUGUAUCUUACAUGUGACAGGCCCCGGGUUCGAAUCCCGGCCAGGCCC